AUUGAACGCUGGCGGCAGGCCUAACACAUGCAAGUCGAGCGGCAGCGGAAAGUAGCUUGCUACUUUGCCGGCGAGCGGCGGACGGGUGAGUAAUGUCUGGGAAACUGCCUGAUGGAGGGGGAUAACUACUGGAAACGGUAGCUAAUACCGCAUAACGUCGCAAGACCAAAGAGGGGGACCUUCGGGCCUCUUGCCAUCAGAUGUGCCCAGAUGGGAUUAGCUAGUAGGUGGGGUAACGGCUCACCUAGGCGACGAUCCCUAGCUGGUCUGAGAGGAUGACCAGCCACACUGGAACUGAGACACGGUCCAGACUCCUACGGGAGGCAGCAGUGGGGAAUAUUGCACAAUGGGCGCAAGCCUGAUGCAGCCAUGCCGCGUGUAUGGAGAGGGCCUUCGGGUUGUAAAGUACUUUCAGCGGGGAGGAAGGUGUUGUGGUUAAUAACCACAGCAAUUGACGUUACCCGCAGAAGAAGCACCGGCUAACUCCGUGCCAGCCGCCGCAGUAA
rnacentral:rRNA from 1 species